CAGCUAAAAGGAAAAAAAUUGGUGCUAGCAGAGCAUGUGAGGAAUGUAGAAGAGCUGAGAACUAAUGGCAAUAGUUAUUUAUUGAGCCACCAUCAUUCGUCAAACAUCGGUGACCUCGACACCCUAUAAAACAAGUUUAAACAUCGAUCAUGCUAGGGUUGUCACAGGAGUAAAAUGCAGCUGCGUUUAUAACCAGAGCAGCAAGUGCAAACAUGUUGCUGCUUUAAUAUGUUGCAUUAACAACAAAGUUAGUAAUUUAAAAACGAGCAUCGAACAUCAAUGGGGAGAACCCAUUAUUCGUCAAUUUGGAGCUUGUAAAUAUUCCAAAGGGAGCUAUUUUCAAGAUAUGUUUGGAUCAGUAUCUAAGACUGACUAUUGUGAACCACAAUCUAUAUUACGUCAAAUAUCUCCAAUUUAUGCUAACUUCUUAUGUUUGGAUGUGUUGCAGUAAUGAUACUGAUAAGAAAGUGUUAAUUUAAUAUUAUAAUGAUAAAAAUAUAAGUGCAGAACUUUAUAAAAUAAAAAACAGUUAUGUUUUUCGACAGUUGAAUUUUAUUUACCUUUUACAACAGUAUUACUCUUGGAAAAGAUUGGAGGCUGUAAAUUAACUAAAACACAACAUACAUGUACAAUAUCAUCAAUAAAAUUGAAUAAAUUAACA